rnacentral:rRNA from 1 species
UACGAGAGGCCCAAACGUUAUUCGGAAUUACUGGGCUUAAAGAGUUCGUAGGCGGCAUUGCAAGUAGGGUGUGAAAGCCCUCGGCUCAACCGUGGAACUGCUGGGCAUACUGCGGGUCUUGGGCCAACUAGGGGCAGCCGGAACAAGCGGUGGAGCGGUGAAAUGCGUAGAUAUCGCUUGGAACGCCGAAGGUGAAAACAGGCUGCUGGGGUUGCGCCGACGCUGAGACACGAAAGCCAGGGGAGCAAACGGG